CGUGGCGGCGUGCCUAACACAUGCAAGUCGUACGAGAAGUCGGCUUCGGCCGUGAGUAAAGUGGCGCACGGGUGAGUAACGCGUGGAUAAUCUGCCCUCCGGUCAGGAAUAACCAAUCGAAAGGUUGGCUAAUACCCGAUCACACUCUUGCACUGCGGUGCAAUAGUCAAAGAUGGCCUCUGUAUACAAGCUAUCGCCGGGGGAUGAGUCCGCGUACCAUUAGCUGGUUGGUGGGGUAAUGGCCUACCAAGGCGAUGAUGGUUAGCUGGUCUGAGAGGAUGGCCAGCCACACUGGAACUGAGACACGGUCCAGACUCCUACGGGAGGCAGCAGUGAGGAAUCUUGCGCAAUGGGGGAAACCCUGACGCAGCAACGCCGCGUGAGUGAGGAAGGCCCUCGGGUCGUAAAGCUCUGUCAGGUGGGAAGAAAUCGAUGAAGGUGAACAACCUCCAUCCUUGACGGUACCACCAGAGGAAGCACCGGCUAACUCCGUG
rnacentral:rRNA from 1 species